rnacentral:rRNA from 1 species
CAAAGAACUUUGAAGAGAGAGUUCAAGAGGGCGUGAAACCGUAUAGAAGGAAACAGGUAGAGCUGAUGAUAGUUGGCAGGAUUCAUCCUGCCCCACUAGACGCAAUCGUGUGUGCAGACUUUGUGCUGCCGCACUUUAGGUGUCCUGGGGGUAGGUGCACUUCCUGCCGACGCGCGCCAAGGGCGUCAGUGGUGCGAGCGAAUGGGAUUGUUGCCGGCCCUUCUUUAGGGUGUCCCGCGACCCCCGGAACUCGUCGUCACUGGCGUUAAUCGGUGUCCGCCUACGCACUCCUUGGUUUACUAGAUCGGUCGGACUGUAGUUGUCGUGCUUGUACGGCAUCUCGAGGCCCGGUCGUGUGUAACUGGAGCGAGUGAGCGGCACUGUCUUUGGUGUAAAAGUCGGCCACCUACCUGACCCGUCUUGAAACACGGACCAAGGAGUCUAACGUGUGCGCGAGUCACUGGGUGGUAAACCUAGAGGCGCAAUGAAAGUAAAGGCUAGCUUGCUGGCUGAUACACGACCCUGCGGUUCGCUGUGGGGGCAGUGUAGCCCCGUCUCGACUGCUUGUCAGUGGGGCGGAGGUAGAGCGUACACGUUGGGACCCGAAAGAUGGUGAACUAUGCCUGAGCAGGACGAAGCCAGAGGAAACUCUGGUGGAGGUCCGAAGCGGUUCUGACGUGCAAAUCGAUCGUCAGACUUGGGUAUAGGGGCGAAAGACUAAUCGAACCAUC